UAUGACCUCUUCUUGGCCGGUAAGCGGAUCUGACCUCGUCCUCUUGGGCGUCCUCAUCAGGAAACUCAUCAUCUGACCGGGUGUUCCUUCACAGCUGAUUGGUUCUUGUUCCCGAUCUAGGAUGGUAAUUGCUUACUUGAAGUUCGUCAAGCCUUUGAUGGAUCUGCUCUAGACCUGUGUUUAUAAGAUUAGAAAAAGAAUCAUUCAAAGCUCGCAUCUGAAGAUUAGACAGUCCAGCAACUGAAUUUCCGGGACGGUUUUGAUCUUCGUGGCUACUCAUGGUUCCUGAAAUUUAUUAAACACAAAAUGUUAGGAUUAAAACUCACACUCUCAAGUGUUUGCUCCUCACCCACACAUGUGUUUCUCUCGAUUUAAAAGUGAUCACUCAAGUUUCCACUCAAAGUUCUAUGAAGAACAGAUCUCAGAAUCUGGAUGACCAAACUUAAGGAAAACACAAGGGAAUUUUAAAAGAUAGAAAGAUAAGAGAUUUGUUUUUAAAUGAAUCUGUUUUAACCUCCUCAAAGGCUGGAUUUCUCCUCAGCCAGCAGGCUUCCUCUUCCACCACCAAUCCACAAAGGAAACUCUUUUUUUUUUCUUUUUUUUUAAGAGGAUGGUAAUGAGGGGCCCGGAUUCAAGAUAGACAGAUGAAGAAGUGUUUAGAAGAAAUGGAAGAUGAGAAGAUGGAUCGAGAUAGAGAAUACCAGACGAGUGGGCUCUGAUACCACUUGAAGGACCCUAAGAUCGGAUUGCCCUCGAUGGGAUUCGUUUGGAUAUGAACUCCGGAAAGGAGAACUGAUGGAGUGAAGGGUCGCACAAGGGUUAUGGAGGUUCCCUUGAUAUUCCCGGCUUCAAUGGCGCUUGAUAUGACUCACAAGUCCGCCAAGGAAGAUCUCGAACUGGUUGCUUAAUAUGUCUCACAAGACCAACUAUUUGAGAAGUGAAUUGCUCAGAUAUGACACACCAAGAAAAUCGAAAACAAGUUCUAAAGAGAACAGAGAGUUUAAACUCAGAAACUUAAUCCAAAAUGAUCUGAUUUUAUUCAUGAAAUGAAACACUUAUUUAUAGUACAAAUAGGAGACAAAGGGGCUACUUGACUAGAAGUUUGAAUGACAAAUUAAAUUAAAAACAUUUGACUAGAAUUUUGAAAGACAAAGAAGAAAGACUCUUCAAUUUGCGGCCUGGUCAAAGUGACCCUUCGGCUGGCUUGUGUUCG
rnacentral:lncRNA from 1 species